rnacentral:rRNA from 1 species
GACGAACGCUGGCGGCGUACCUAAUACAUGCAAGUCGAACGCCGUUGCGAACGGGUGAGUAACGCGUAGGUAACCUCCUCAUAGCGGGGGAUAACUAUUGGAAACGAUAGCCAAUACCGCCUUCUUUGAGCUGGACCUGCGUUGUAUUGGCUAGUUGGUGGGGUAAAGGCUCACCAAGGCGCCGAUACAUAGCCGACCUGGGAGGGUGAUCGGCCACACUGGGACUGGGACACGGGCCAGACUCCUACGGGAGGCAGCAGGAGGGAAACUUCGGAAAUGGGCCGAAGGCUGACCGAGCAACGCCGCGUGAGUGAAGAAGGUUUUCGGAUCGGAAAGCUCUGUUGUGAGGGAAGCGGUACCUAACCAGAAAGGGACGGCUAACUACGUGCCAGCCGCCGCGGUAAUUC